GGUUGGUGGCCAUGCUAUGGCAGCCACCCACAUACAAAAUAAAGGAAGACUGGCAUAGAUGUGAGCUCAGCAACAAUUUUCCUCAUGAAAAAAAAAACCCAAAAAUGUUGGACUUUAUACCAUUGUAAUGAUAAACAUUAAAACAUACUCAUGAAUGGAACCACGCUUAUGAGAGAGUGGCACAGAAUCAAAGAGAUUCAUUUUAAUAGAUUAACCAGAAAAAAUAAUAAUCAAAUCACACCUCAGUAGAUGCAGAAAAAGCAGUUGUUAAUAGUUAGUACCCAGUCAUAGUUUAAAAUGUUAGUAACAUCCUGGAAAGCAAGGAAUAAAAUUAUUAAAAUCUGAUUUAAAAACCUCUGCUAGAAAGAGACAGCAGGCUGGCCCCGUGGCUGAGUGGUUAAGUUCGUGCGCUCCGCUGCAGGCGGCCCAGUGUUUCAUUGGUUCGAAUCCUGGGCAUGGACAUGACACUGCUCAUCAAACCACGCUGAGGCAGCGUCCCACAUGCCACAACUAGAAGGACCCACAACAAAGAAUAUACAAUUAUGUAGCCGGGGGGCUUUGGGGAGAAAAAGGAAAAAUAAAAUCUUUAAAAAAAAAAAGAAAAGAAAGAUACAGCAAACAAUCCACAGACUAGGUAAAGUACAGAGCAUUCCUGGAAUGACAGGCAAGAUGCAGAUUUCCACCAUUCUUGCACAUAUUCAGCUUUAUAUCUAAGGUCAUAACCAGCCCAGUGGGUCGAGAAAAAGCGGGAAAUUUGGUGAAAAAGAUACAAAUUAUAAUUAUUUGCCCAGGAUACCUGCCUACAUUAAAAAACCAGGAAAAUUUGCAAACAAUCAGAAAUGUUACAGAUUUCACCAAGGCUGCUGCUGGACAACAGAUCACCUCCCACAACUCAAAAGAGACCUAUUCACCAGCAACAACUUCUUACAGAAAAAAAAUGAUUUCUUUUCAAAAGAGCCCUCUCAGAACAAAAACAAAGACUGGGUAAUUGAAGGACAAAUCUACAAAUAAUCGUCAAGGUCAUUCUGCAUAAAAUGGUAAACUUUUAUUGGGGGGCAUUAAAUAUCUGAACAUAUGGGGAGAUAUAACUUGCCUACGAAUGGGAAAGUUUAACAAGAAGCUGAUUCGUCCAAAUUCACUUGUAAACUCUAAACAAUGCUGAUCUGAAUGCUACCUGCCCUUUGUGUCUGUGUGUGGACUUGAUAAAGUUUUGCCCCCAAAUCAUAUAAGCAAAUAAUAUAAAUACAAUGUAAUACGUCAAUUAUAUCCCAAAAGAAUAAUAUGGAAUAAAUUCUCAACUAUUCUAAAAUUUAUGUGGAAGAACAGGAUAUUUUGAAAAACAUGAAGGAAAGGCUUUCUCUGUAUGCCCUUCAGAAAGGUGAAAUGAUAAAAAGCUGAUAAAUGGUGUGGGUUGACAGGGGUCAGGGCUAAAGGUCAGAGUGUAGACUGGGGUAUCCAUGAUGGAGAUUAAAUGUUUUAUACGUUUAAAACAUGACCAAGUAGCCAGGAUCCUGGGAAUGAAUCGAGGAAGAAACUCUCAUCCUGGUCAAACGAGAUGACAGUUGAGGGGGUUGUCACAGAAUCCUUCACAGUCAUGGGAGUGGGAGGCAGCCUAAGGGCAUUACUGAAGGAAGAUGCCAGCAACACGUGGAGAUGCACACCAGGGAAUAUGAUGCAGCAGUGAGAAGCAAUGGGAUAAAUACACUCAGUGUCACACAGUUUUAUAAAUAGUGGUGUGCAAAAAAUAAACAGAAUGAAAUUUAAAAUACAAUCUUAUUUAUGUACAUUAAAAACAUAUGCUCCCGUGAAAAUGUCCUAGGAAAGGAGGACUCAAAUAAACAAAGUUGCUCAUAUAAAUAAGGGAAAUAAACGUUUUUGGACAUUGGAAGAGUGGUCUGUGGUGGGCAAGAAAAUGAGAGAGAGGCAGGGGAUGAGAGAGAAAAAGAAAAAGUAAUGUAGAUGGAAUAAGCUCCAGUGGGAUGGCAGCUAAACAGGUGGGCAUUUGUCUGGGGAGCAAACAAUGAGGGGAGAUGCCCUAAGUGGGUGGCGGAGACCCCACUUCAGCUCCUGGGCAGCUGGGUGUCUUACUGAUGCCCUAACAUGCACUGUGCAGAACUGCAUUCUGGGAUUCCAUAGAGGGUCUGGUGGACAGGGUGACAUACCUCCAACUGAAUGCAUUGCAGCGCUAAACCUAGGCACGCGCAUCCUGUUACCAGCUCACAGUUAUAGACAAUAUAUGAAAUAUUCCACCACGUUCACCGAGUUCAGUCAUGGGACCUUCUCUGCGAGAGAGGUCCUGCAGGCAAGGCUCUGUGAAUAAGCACAAACUGUGGACAAACAGGCUCGAGACCUUCUUGCUUGCCCUGUUUGAAGACAGUGGAAGCAGAGACGUAGCAUAUAUACUNNNNNNNNNNNNNNNNNNNNGGGGGGGGGGGGGGGGGGGCAGCAGACAAAAAGAGGGGAGUGACCAGAAGGGGGCAAACUUUUCUCUCUGGACUAUUCAUAGCUGGAGCUCUGAUCCCACGGGUCCAUGAGGUCUAGUGCACUUGAUGGGUGAUGGGAUUCCUGGGCUUGUAGAUGCAGAGCUUUGCGCGCGCGCGCGCGUGUGUGCCUGCGUGUGCGCGUGCAUCUGUGUGUGUGUGUGUGGGGGGGUGCAUCAAGACAGCGGGUGAAUAGGGAUCCAUUCAACUGCUGGCGUUUGGAGAGGGCCUGAGGGCAGAGCGCAAACCUUCCAUCUGCGCUAUCGAGGGGGAAAGAUUACUGAUCCAUAGUGAGAAGCUGGAAGAUCAUUGCUGAGACGGAGAAGAACCAAAUUCCCAGGUCGGAACAGACAAGGCAGAACUCAAAUGGUGCCAAAUUCCAAUUAAACAAGUUCCCACCUCUGAACAAGAUCUAGGUUCCUGAGGUCAAAGAAAGAUUUCCCUGGAAUUGGUGUGUCUGCGCGAGGAGACCAGCCUUGUGGGCCAAGAGGGAGUUGGGACCAGUGAACAGAUGGGAGGUGACCUCGGGGGGGCUGGGAGAUAAGACUCAUGAGUUGCACGCGUUUCAGGAGAGGAGACUUGCAAGGGCAGGAGCGCGGAUGCCAGGGCACCGACACUGGCGAGGACACCCGCAGCUGGAGCGCAACGGGCGUGGAGACCAGUACGGAGUCCAGCGUCGCCACCGUUGCAGGAGAGGGCACUUGGCAGCUGAGAAGACUUGCACUGUGGGUGUCACGGGCGUUGUAGGCGACGAGACAGGGGCUUACGCAUGGAGACUGGAGAGGAAGUCUCUGUCCGGGGCAUCACCAACGUCCGGGGCGGGAGACUGGCGUCACAGACGUCGGGGGCGUGGAGAGGGGCGAGGAGAUUGGCAGUGGGGUUUGACCAGCGAGGUGAGGAGACAGGAGCGGAGAGCUGCCUUGGGGUGUUGGUGGCGUGGAGUCGAGGGAGGAGACUGGUAUCGGAGGCAUAGAGAUGAGCGAAAAGAUGCCAGACGAGGGUGUCGAGGGCAUGGUGGGCGUGCAGACCGGUGGGGAGACCCGCGUCCCGGACGUUGCAGCGGUCUGGGGUGGGGAGAUGGCCGAGGAGAGCUGCGUUCCAGGCGUGGAGACCGGAGAUGCGGGCAACUGGAGCGUGGGCAUCGAAAAGGAGACCGUGUCUCCGGUGUUGCAGGUGUGGAGACUGGCGUGCGGGGAGUGGAGAUUGGCUUGGAGACAUGCGUCCCAGGAGUCGUGGGCAUUGAAGAGUACAUCUGACUGUGUCGUUCUCUAAGGCAUAUGGUGCUUUCAAGACAUCCCAUGAGCCUUACCUCCUGGUAUUAACACCUUUGUUCCAUCCAACAUAGUACCCAGGAACAGGCUGACCACAGGCGGGAAAUACACCUGCAACACAUCCAUCACAGCUGACAGAAGAAUAGAACAAUGUGAUGCCCGGAGCCUCUCAUGCCUGGAGACCAACAUCCCUGGACCCCCUCAUUGCCCAUUUUCCCUCUGUAACUGCCUCAAGAUUCUCUAAACCUUGAAGAUGGGUUUUGUGAGACAUUAGUCACCUAUCUUGUGAUUAGCCGGCUAAUCUAAUUAAACUUCCUUUCUCUGUUGUGAUUAAUUGGCUCAGAUCACAGCGAGCAGAGCCAUCCCAUUGCUCAGUCGGUAUCACCUCCACAAUGCCAAAGUUGUCAUAGGCGACCUUGGCCAGGGGUCCCAGUGGUUGGUGGUGCAGGAGGCAUUGCUGACGAUCUUGAGGGCGUUGUGAUACUUCUCAUGGUUCUUGCCCAUUACAAACCUGGGGCAUCAGCAGAUGGGGCAGAGACGGUGAGCCUUUUGGCUCUACCUUUCAAGAGAGCCCCAGCCUUCUCCAAGGCAGGGAAGACACCAGUGAAUUCCACAACAUGUUCAGCACGGGUUUCACCCCAUUUGACGUUGGUAGGCUCUCCAUCCUGGAAGAUGGAGAUGGGCUUUCCAUUGAUGACAAACCUUGACUGUGCCGCUGAGCCUGCCAAGGUUGGAAUCAUUCUGGAACACAUAGACUCUGUAGUUGAGGUCAGUGAAGGGAUUAUUAAUGAUGCCCAGGUGCCCAACGUGGCCUGAUCCAUUUCCUCUGACUUUCACCAUUGUGUCUCAGGGACACGCCUAGCAGGCACAAGAUUUGGCUGCCUGUUGAAUGGGAGGAGCAGAGGGCCUAAACUUUUUAAAUUAAAUGGUCUCAGAAAUGCCUACCUGAGUCUGAAAAAGCAUACCUUAAGGAUAAGCUUUUAGCUUGAGGGAGAGAGAAG
ensembl:lncRNA